rnacentral:piRNA from 1 species
CAGGGACCAAGACCAGAGGUUGCU